rnacentral:rRNA from 1 species
UACGGAAGGCAGCAGUGGGGAAUAUUGCACAAUGGGCGCAAGCCUGAUGCAGCCAUGCCGCGUGUAUGAAGAAGGCCUUCGGGUUGUAAAGUACUUUCAGUCGUGAGGAAGGUGUUAAGGUUAAUAACCUUAGCAAUUGACGUUAGCGACAGAAGAAGCACCGGCUAACUCCGUGCCAGCAGCCGCGGUAAUACGGAGGGUGCUAGCGUUAAUCAGAAUUACUGGGCGUAAAGAGCACGUAGGUGGUUUUUUUAAAGUCAGAUGUGAAAUCCCUGGGCUUAACCUGGAACUGCAUUUUGAAACUGAAAUACUAGAGUAUCGUAGAGGGAGGUAGAAUUCUAGGUGUAGCGGUGAAAUGCGUAGAUAUCUGGAGGAUACCUGUGGCGAAAGCGGCUCCUAAACGGAUACUGACACUGAGGUGCGAAAGCUGGGGAGCAAACAGGAUUAGGAUACC